rnacentral:rRNA from 1 species
ACAUGCUUGCAACAUAGCAUUAAUGCACCAGAUCCCAUUAGAACUCCAUAGUUAAGCGCGCUUAUGCUAGAGUAGUACUGGGAUGAGUGACUACCUGGGAAGUCCUAGUGUUUUACAUGCC